UAAGUAGAUUAAUUUAUUCUAAAAUUAUAAUUUUUUCCCCUUUUCCUUUUAGAAUACAAAAGUAAGAUUACAAUAUAAAAUUAGUCCAAGAUCAUUAAAUUAUAAAAUUAGUCCUAACAAUAUCACCACCCUACUCAAAAUGGUACAUGGAAAAGUAAUUGGAUGAGUGUGAUGGACAAGGUACAUGAUCAAUCUUUAUGAGGGCAAGCUAACUAGGGGAAAUUGCAGACUUGUACAUUUGCCUUAGUUCUUUGGCCACAUCAAUCAUUUCUGGCCUAUCUUCUUCUGAUUCAGAGAUACAUCUAAUGGAAAGCACUUUAAAAGUUUGCAAUUGCUGAUAUUUUCCUAGCCAAGAUCCCUCUUCCACAAUAAUAGAAUCCACAAUAUCAUUAAACCUAUCAUCUUCAAUAUAUUUCUUCACAUGAUCCACCAAAACAAGUUCCCUACGUGGAUCGACCCCCAUUUGUCCUGUCAAAAGCAUCAGUAGAAAUAUGCCAAAGUUAAAAACAUCCUGCUUCUCAUUGAAACAGUUUGUAGCAUAGUACUCCGGUGCAAUGAGCCCCAAUCCGCCUGCCACAAAAUCCUUUACAUGGGAUUCACCUUCAGGAAUAGACACAGCAAGUGAGAAAUCAGACAAUUUGGCAACAUGGGAUUCAUCCAGGAAGAUAUUUAAAGGUUUGAUAUUUCUAAAAACAAUGGGCUUAGGAAAUGCAGCAUGAAGAUAUGCAAUUGCAUUAGCAAUCUCCAUUGCAAUCUUUAACCUUUGUGUCCAUAGUAAUGGUUCAAAAUGAGUUUUGUUGGGACCAUAAAGACGAUCAGCAAGCGAACCAUCCUCAACUGAUUCAAAAACAAGAAUAGGAAUCUUAGUCUCCAAGCAGCAACCCAACAACUUGAGAAAAUUUUUAUGGACGCUCAUUUGAGAGGCAAAUACAAUGUCAUUGAAACAAUAUUCAUAUUGUUCAGAGUUUUCCUUGAACUUCUUUACGGAAACGGGUCUUUGUUGCAAAACACCCUUGUACAGCUUAUAGCCUGAAUCACGAGUUAUAAUCUUCUGUGGAUCAUAGUCAUUUGUUGCUCUCUUGAGCUCAUCAGCAGGAUAGAUACGAAUAGGAUUACAUUUCCCAUCACAAGUGGCAAUUAGCUUCUCUAGUAACAUUCCUCCAUUCUUCAUGAAUGCUGUUUCCAUUUCUGGUUUCUUAUCCCUCUUGAUUCUCCAACAUGAAGUCAUUUCACCUGUCUACCACACUCAAAAUCCAGAAACCAUAUAAGGAUUAUGUCUGUACUUAAAAAAUAUUUCUAGAUCAACAGCAAAAUUUUCUGGUUCAAAGUUUAGAAAAUUCGCCUUAGCUAAAUUUCGAAAGGGUUUUCUUUUCUCUUCAAAAAAAUUAGGUUUUCUUUUCUCUUCAAAAAAAUUAUUCUUGAUAUAGGAAUAUGAUUCCAAACUAAACUCCUCACUUUGCAGUUGCUGCCAUUAUCAUAUGCUACAACAACAAUGAUUCAAUCUAAAGGCACCAAUUUUGUUCUUGUGCAAAAGUGAAUAAAUAUGUAACAGCUAAAGAUUACAACUGGAGGAUUCUUCAAGAACCAUAAGAAACCAAGUUGCUACAAUAAUUCCCACUAGGAUUCAUGGUUCAAAUCUGGCAGGAUAAGCUAUUAGACUAAAUACAGGGUUGAAAUCCCAUUUUGUAUGUAAAACAGACAUAAACACCAAAUCGAAGUAUCCCGUUUAAGAAUCUGUGCUUUUCAACAGAAUUUGAACUUGCUUGUUAUAAAAUUACAAGAAACAGAGUAAAAUUGAUAGGUGAUGGGCAAUCUAUCAGCAUCAGAAAGAUCUUCUAGUUAAACCAUUUAACAGCUGAUAUUAAUUAUUUGUACAUAAUUUUUUUUGACAAAUAAUUAUUUGUACAUAAUUAAGAAAAGAAAAAGGAAGAAAAGAUGAUUUUAGUGUUUGCUUUCAAUAAAUCAGUAUAUAAUCUAAGAAUGGAUCCAAGACUUUCAAUAAUUUUCUGAAUUAAGUUAAAAUUUGGGCCCAGAUUCAAUACAAGCUUAAUCAAUGACAAAAUCAGCAGAAACCCAUUACCAAAUUAAGGAGGAUAAGAUUGUUU
rnacentral:misc_RNA from 1 species